rnacentral:rRNA from 1 species
GAUCCUGGCUCAGGAUGAACGCUAGCUACAGGCUUAACACAUGCAAGUCGAGGGGCAGCGGGAAGUCAGCUUGCUGACUUUGCCGGCGACCGGCGCACGGGUGAGUAACACGUAUCCAACCUCCCGCAUACUCGGGAAUAGCCUUUCGAAAGAAAGAUUAAUGCCCGAUGGUUUCAAGGGAUUGCAUGGUAUCUUGAAUAAAGAUUUAUCGGUGUACGAUGGGGAUGCGUUCCAUUAGGUAGUAGGG